UACGGGGGGGGCAAGCGUUGUUCGGAAUUACUGGGCGUAAAGGGCUCGUAGGCGGCCAACUAAGUCCGACGUGAAAUCCCAAGGCUUAACCUUGGAACUGCGUCGGAUACUGGAUGGCUUGAAUUCGGGAGAGGGAUGCAGAAUUCCCGGUGUAGCGGUGAAAUGCGUAGAGAUCGGGAGGAACAUCCGUGGCGAAGGCGGCCAUCUGGAUCAACACUGACGCUGAGGCACGAAAGCGUGGGGAGCAAACAGG
rnacentral:rRNA from 1 species